AGUUUUCUCAUAUUCAAAUUCUCUGGAAAAAACAAUAAAAUUUAUACUAUCAAAUAUAACUACAGGAACAUGGUCAUUUUUGCUUUUCUGUUAACAUUAAAUGAAAAGGUGUAAGAAAUUUGACAGAAAAGAAAUAAAAUGGAAUUUAGAUGAUUAUGAUGGGCAGUAUGGGUAACACUUGUCAGAAUCUAGCCUAUAUUAAAUGGCAUUUUUGGCAUCAAAAUGACUUCUGAAAUAUUUUGCCUAAAAUAACGAUAUAAUAAAAGGUAUUUGUCAUAACUUUCUUCUCCAUUUUAUAAAUGAAAUGAAGAAAAACAGACAAUUAGGAUUUUAUAUUGUGCUUCAACCAAGAAAUCCAAAAUUCUCAAGAGCAUGUUUGGUGAAGAGUAAUGGAAUAAAUUUCUUAUUUAUCAUUCUAGCGCAUUUUAAUUCCACUAGAUUCCAUUAUGCAUCAUUACCAUUGACCAAACAUGUUCAUUCUCUUUCUUUCUUACUUUGCAUCUCACUGAUCAAUGAGAGCAGAAGAAAAACCAUAUUUCAAUUCUGGGUGUAGCAUAAUAGAAUUUCAAAUAUGGACAUGUAGCGACACAUAUAUUUAACAAAGUAUAACUUAAUCCUUGAAAAAGUUACUCCCUUUACAACCUUUCCCAGCAUGUGCCUCUAAAAACUUGACUUCCUACUAGUGUAAAAAAAAAAAUUAAAAUAUAUAUAUAUAAGAAGAAAAUCCAAAAGAUGUCCAGUUAUUCCAUCCUAUUAACAGCAUGCAUCAUAAAGAUGCAACAAAACCAUAUUAAAAUUGUACCAUCUUAUAAGUAAAUUCAAGGAGUUAAAGCCUUCUUGUCCAACUUUUUUCCAAGUAUCAAGCCCAUCAAUAGAUUAGACAUUUGAGAUGAUGUGCUGGAUUUUAAUUAGUCCCUUCAUUAUUUGAAGAAAAAUACAUUGUUGCAAAUGGGGAACUUAUUUUACCAUUCACCACCUAAGUUCUCAGGCCCUCAUCCGCACCUUUUUAAUUUUUCUAAGUCAUCCAGUCAACAAUAGGAAGAACAUCUGUAUCUGAUUUAUAAUUGUCUAAGAUUAAGCUAAUUAAACUUAUGGUACUUCCAGCCCCAAUACUUCAAAUAUCAAAUCUUGUGAUUGCAAAAUAUUAUACUUUCACAUGCAUCAUAACAUAUUUUAAACUGGAAACAGAAAGCAUAACAAAAGAUACUUCAGCAACAUCAACAAAGACUGUAAAGUGAUAUGAAUAAACCAGCAAUCUGACCUUUUAAAUUGUAUUAGAAUCCAG
rnacentral:misc_RNA from 1 species